UGAGGGUACGCCUAACCUAGUUGAUCAGUUUUGGUGUUCUAAGAUAAACAAGCUCUUUUGAGACGAUGAAACUUUACGAAAAUUCUAUUGAAGACGGCCAUGCAAGAGCAAGAACCCAGUUGAAAUCAAUAAUAAACUGACAUAAACUUGCAUAAAUCAAAAUAAUCAAAGUAUCAUUCGUUCAUCGAGAAUCACCUAGGAUUCAUCUAAUCUAAGCAAGAAGGAAUUUAGCUACUCAUAACCAUGAAGAAUAAAUCUAAAUCAGCAAAAGAAGCCAUUGAAAUUAGAUUUACAAGAAGAAAUCUCAAAAACCCAAUUUUGUCGAGUUCCAUUGAAGAAAACCUAUUCGCUGAUCUUGAUAACGUCGUGACCGAUCCAAACUUCUCAAAG
rnacentral:lncRNA from 1 species